UAUAUUCCAAUUUUCCAAUGUUUUUUUUUUAGAAUUUGUUUUGGAUUGACAUUUCUGUAUUUUCGAGUGAAUUAUGAAAUGUAGCUCGGUCCGACAUACGCAUAUUUCUGUAUGUUAUUUAAAGUCAGCGCAAUAGAUACAUAGUUUUUGACCAAAGGUUUAAUUCGAAUAAGUAGAGUAGUGAAACCGUCCACAAGGAACCACAAGACUGCUGUCGCAAUAUUCAAUAUAAGAAGUGCGCAACUGUUUCAAGUUUAACUGAUUUGUUUCAACAGUUUGUGUUCCAAUUACUGAUAAUUUAUUAUGCUAAUUGAUUUGUGGUGAUGAUGUUGUUACCAAUAAGAAGUGCAUAAAUAUCUUCAGUCCGAAGCAAAAUCAAGUGGGUGUUCGAUGCAUUAAAUUUUAAUUAAAUGAAACGUAGGGCAGAUGAUACGCAUCGAAUUGAUCUAAUCUUGACCUUCCACCACAACAUUCCAUUGUUAAGCGAAUAAUUUUAUCGAAAAAUACUCCAGAAAACCUGAUUCGAACAAUAUGCAUAGAGACUCAUUACGAAAUGGUAAUGGUAACAACAACGGCACAACGGAACGCGAUGCUGCUCACAUUCGAUUCCGUGAACGAGGACCCACGCAAGUGUAUCAGUGCUCCAGCUGCCACCGACCAUUCGAAGCAAGCAACAAGGCUGAAAUUAUGGAACAUUUCGAAAACAAUGUCCAUAGGAAAAUUGCUAGUGAUUGUCUGUAUUGUCACGGAGCCGUCUUUCAAUACAGAACGGUGCGUGGUGAAGCGGAAUUCUAUCAUAACUGCUUGCCGUACAAGAAAAUGAAUAGCAAGCUAAAGAACAAAUCAU